AGGAAGCGCAGCUGGGGCGGGGGCAACAGGGCUACGAGUGGGCGUCCGCGUCAUCCUCCUGCAGCAGCGCAGAGCCCUGGUCCCUGCAGCGAGUGCACCAGGUGAGUGGGUGUCGAGGAACCGCCAGGCAGCGGAGAAAACAGGACGCCGCAGAAAUCAGAUUACUCACCUGCAGCUGCGACUACCCAGGGCUAAUAAAAGCUGAGCUUCCUGUUGUUUCUUUAUUACCACCCUCUGCCUCCCCCAGCCCCAGCCGGCUCCCAGCUGCAGCCAGAGCCCUAACCGAUUGCCAGAAACCAGUAGCUUCAGGGUCCUGGACCACUCUGCUGCCUGAAAUUGGACCAUGUGUGUAGCAUGGGAUGGGGUUAAUGUUGCCCCAUGUGUGGCCCCUCCAUCACCUGCAUGGGAAUCACCUGGGGUGCUGGUUAAUAAAAUAAGUCCCCCGACACUGCUUCACAUCUGCUGAAUCAGAAUCGCUGCAGUUUAGGGCCUAAGAACCUGCAAAUUCAUACCAAUCUCUGGUGUUUUGUAUGCAGGUUCAAGUUGGACAACCACCAAGUACAGAUGCUGUAGGUUCAGAAAACAAGUUUAUUUUUUCUGUCACCCACAAGUUAGGGAUGGAACCUGUCCCCAAUAUUGUCCAAAUAGGUCUCUCCCCUUUCAGGGCCUUCAGAUGAGCCUGAGUUUGCUCAGUGGGGGAUGAAAAUAAUACAGAUUUCUAGAAACUGAAACGAGGUGCAAAUGAAACAGUAUGAUUAGCAUGAUUCCUGGUAGUUGUUCCUGAGUUCGAAGACCAACCAGAAAUAGACAUUGAACCAAUAUGGUGGCAAAGACCUUAGGAGUGAACAGGAUGGAUGGGAGCUGUGGUUGUGGGGGGUGAGCGGGCCCAGAAGGGGCCAUAAUUCACUCUGAGACCAUUGAGAAAAGCUUCAGAUCCUGCCCCACAAGGAAACGUUCCUGCCCAGGACAUUGACAAUCCCUUAAGGCCAGAUCUGGUGGCCUCUUCUCAGCCUCUCUGUGACAUCUGACUCAGGGGCAGGCCGCCCCCUCCUCCUUCAAGCUCUCAACUCCCUCAGCUUCAGGGAGGCCUCACCUUCCUGUGUUCCUCUCACCUCCCUAGCAGCUCCUUUGUGGUCUCCCAGCUCCUUCUGCUCCUGCCCCUGGGAACACGGGCCUGGCGGCCUGCAGCACAGCUCCUAGACAGACAGCCUCAUGCACUCCCACUUAUCUGCCCCAAGCUGAGCUCUGCCCUGAGCUCCCAGAAUGUAAUCAGGGCACCUCCUAAACAUCACGUAGUGACCCCAAGCACCCCAAGCAACUCCACCAACUCUGAACUCCUCCUCUUGCUCUCCCCGCCAACCUGCUAU
rnacentral:lncRNA from 1 species